GGGGAUGUACCGGUUUCGACAGGGAUUGCUGGUGCAUAUCCAGGCAUGCGAAGCUGAAUUAACUCCUUAAACUGAUUCAAAGUUCUAAAUGCAAAGAAAAAAGAAGACGAAUACGUCGAAGAUGAAGCACAGCUCGCUCUUGCAGCUUAAUUAAAAGCGAAUAGAGGUCAGAGCCGCUCAGGAUAAAGAAAGUGGUUGCGUGAUUUUUUAUCCACCUUGAGCGCGAACAAAAAAGAUGCAAUAGUCUGCCGCUGACUAAUCUGUAUAACAGCAGACGAACUUGUGCUAAUGCACAUGAAUGACAGAUAGGAAGGAUAAAGGUGUAUCGCCUUGAACGCACCCCUUCAUUAAAAGUUCAAGACUAAGCAUGUAGAGUGGCUAUGACAGGAUUUUUGGACAGGGGUUCGAAUCCCCUCAUCUCCAU
rnacentral:tmRNA from 1 species